rnacentral:misc_RNA from 1 species
AAGUCGUAACAAGGUUUCCGUAGGUGAACCUGCGGAAGGAUCAUUACCAAUUUUAGCGAACCUGAUCUUUUUUUGAUCAUGGUCUCGCGAAAACUGUAUUUAAAACCCCACUCUUAUUAUAUGAAUCUUUUGUAUACAUAAUAUAUAAAAUAAAAGAUCACUUUCAACAACGGAUCUCUUGGCUCUC